CCAGAUUUGAACAGCUCAGAUAGAAAGAACACUUUAUAGUUGAGCAAAAAAUAAUUAUGUAAAUAGAUGCGACUUGGAGAAUUUUACUACAUUCGACUGAGAUCGAAUCUACUUACAUUUGACAUCAUUCAAUAUAAUUGAGAAUUUUUAGCACUCCAUGUCUCUAUACACUUACAUUGAUGGCAACAGGAAUCAGUCAUGCGGUUGGUAGCUUGGCCACGAUACAGCGCAUCGCAUUUCUGGCCAGUCGCUAAAAAACGUGCUUAUGUUCGAGUUGUAGAAAAUCCAAAUGAGCUGCAGAAAAAGAGUGUUGCGAUAAGUAGACUCUUGGAAAGUAGACGUGACAGAAAGAAGACUUAAAACGAUAUAUAUAUAUAUAUAUACUUAUAUACAACAAUCGGAUGCAGGUUUACCAGUAAAAGCAGCAGCUAAAGCUCGCAUCUCAGUCUCUCUUGGAGCUAUUUAAUUAAAAGGUUAUUCAGAUCGAUAUAAAAAAUCAAUCGCAAAAACCAAAGAAAAAAAAUAAUAAUUAAAUAAAAAAAUAAAAAAAAAAGUCAAGCAAUAUUCGGCUCUUAUCGCAACCGCAAGAGCGUCUAUAUAAAUUCACUUCUGCUCUUCAGUAUAAUAUAAGAGAAGCAAAAACUGCACAGAAGAUUUGUGGCCAACUGAACUCAAAACAAACCGGAAAAGUGGAAAAUAUAAUUCGAAUUUUUUCAUGCAAGCAGCAUGAGUACCUAGGACACAAGACAACGAAGAAACAUCACAAAACGUGGGUUGCAAAUAAGUACAUAGUUAAGAGCUUCAAAAGACCUCGCUGAUAGAGCAGAUUCAUCAAAAAGUAAAUAAAAAAAAAUAAAAAUAAAAA